AUUGAACGCUGGCGGUAGGCCUAACACAUGCAAGUCGAGCGGCAGCACAGUGAUAGCUUGCUCUUACGGGUGGCGAGUGGCGGACGGGUGAGGAAUACAUCGGAAUCUACUGGUGCGUGGGGGAGAACGUAGGGGAACUUACGCUAAUACCGCAUACGGCGUACGGGUGAAAGCAUGGGAUCUUCGGACCUUGCGCGAUUGAAUGAGGCGAUGUCGGAUUAGCUAGUUGGCGGGGUAAAGGCCCACCAAGGCGACGAUCCGUAGCUGGUCUGAGAGGAUGAUCAGCCACACUGGAACUGAGACACGGUCCAGACUCCUACGGGAGGCAGCAGUGGGGAAUAUUGGACAAUGGGCGAAAGCCUGAUCCAGCCAUGCCGCGUGGGUGAAGAAGGUCUUCGGGUUGUAAAGCCCUUUUGUUGGGAAAGAAAAGCAGCAGGUUAAUACCCUGCUGUUCUGACGGUACCAAAAGAAUAAGCACCGGCUAACUUCGUG
rnacentral:rRNA from 1 species